GAGUUUUGAUCCUGGCUCAGGAUGAACGCUAGCUACAGGCUUAACACAUGCAAGUCGAGGGGAAACGACAUCGAAAGCUUGCUUUUGAUGGGCGUCGACCGGCGCACGGGUGAGUAACGCGUAUCCAACCUGCCCACCACUUGGGGAUAACCUUGCGAAAGUAAGACUAAUACCCAAUGAUAUCUCUAGAAGACAUCUGAAAGAGAUUAAAGAUUUAUCGGUGAUGGAUGGGGAUGCGUCUGAUUAGCUUGUUGGCGGGGUAACGGCCCACCAAGGCAACGAUCAGUAGGGGUUCUGAGAGGAACGGUCCCCCACAUUGGAACUGGGACACGGUCCAAACUUCUACGGGAGGCAGCA
rnacentral:rRNA from 1 species